rnacentral:tRNA from 1 species
GCGCCCGUAGCUCAAUGGAUAGAGCGCUAGCCUCCGGAGCUAGAGGUUACAGGUUCGAGUCCUGUCGGGCGUA